rnacentral:tRNA from 2 species
GGAGGGGUGGCAGAGUGGACGAAUGCGGCGGUCUUGAAAACCGUUAGGGUCGCAAGGCCCUCCUGGGUUCGAAUCCCAGCCCCUCCG